CCUACGGGAGGCAGCAGUGAGGAAUAUUGGUCAAUGGCCGGAAGGCUGAACCAGCCAAGCCGCGUGAGGGAGGAAGGCGCAGAGCGUCGCAGACCUCUUUUGCCGGGGGACAAAAGGCCGGACUCGUCCGGUCCUGAGGGUACCCGGAGAAAAAGCAUCGGCUAACUCCGUGCCAGCAGCCGCGGUAAUACGGAGGAUGCGAGCGUUAUCCGGAUUUAUUGGGUUUAAAGGGUGCGUAGGCGGAGUGUCAAGUCAGCGGUAAAAUUUCGGGGCUCAACCCCGUCGUGCCGUUGAAACUGACACCC
rnacentral:rRNA from 1 species